AAUCUUGCGCAAUGGGCGAAAGCCUGACGCAGCCAUGCCGCGUGAAUGAUGAAGGUCUUAGGAUUGUAAAAUUCUUUCACAGGGGACGAUAAUGACGGUACCCGGAGAAGAAGCCCCGGCUACCUCCGUGCCACCAGCAGCGGUAAUACGAAGGGGGAUAGCGUUGCUCGGAAUUACGGGGUGUAAAGGGCGCGUAGGCGGAUCGUUAAGUCAGGGGUGAAAUCCCGGGGCUCAACCUCGGAAUUGCCCUUGAUACUGGCGAUCUUGAGUAUGAGAGAGGUAUGUGGAACUCCGAGUGUAGAGGUGAAAUUCGUAGAUAUUCGGAAGAACACCAGUGGCGAAGGCGACAUACUGGCUCAUUACUGACGCUGAGGCGCGAAAGCGUGGGGAGCAAACA
rnacentral:rRNA from 1 species